rnacentral:rRNA from 1 species
AGAGUUUGAUCAUGGCUCAGAUUGAACGCUGGCGGCAUGCCUUACACAUGCAAGUCGAACGCGAAAGCGGGGCAACCUGGCGACGAGUGGCGAACGGGUGAGUAAUGUAUCGGAACGUGCCCAGUAGUGGGGGAUAGCCCGGCGAAAGCCGGAUUAAUACCGCAUACGACCUACGGGUGAAAGAGGGGGAUCGCAAGACCUCUCGCUAUUGGAGCGGCCGAUAUCAGAUUAGGUAGUUGGUGGGGUAAAAGCUCACCAAGCCGACGAUCUGUAGCUGGUCUGAGAGGACGACCAGCCACACUGGGACUGAGACACGGCCCAGACUCCUACGGGAGGCAGCAGUGGGGAAUUUUGGACAAUGGGCGCAAGCCUGAUCCAGCCAUGCCGCGUGCGGGAAGAAGGCCUUCGGGUUGUAAACCGCUUUUGUCAGGGAAGAAAUCCUUUGGGCUAAUACCCCGGGGGGAUGACGGUACCUGAAGAAUAAGCACCGGCUAACUACGUGCCAGCAGCCGCGGUAAUACGUAGGGUGCAAGCGUUAAUCGGAAUUACUGGGCGUAAAGCGUGCGCAGGCGGUUGUGUAAGACAGAUGUGAAAUCCCCGGGCUCAACCUGGGAACUGCAUUUGUGACUGCACAGCUGGAGUGCGGCAGAGGGGGAUGGAAUUCCGCGUAGCAGUGAAAUGCGUAGAUAUGCGGAGGAACACCGAUGGCGAAGGCAAUCCCCUGGGCCUGCACUGACGCUCAUGCACGAAAGCGUGGGGAGCAAACAGGAUUAGAUACCCUAGUAGUCC